CAGGAACUGAUGUCCUUCAAAAUUAUUAGCAGGAGAAAUACCCUACUUCAGGUGGACAGGACGUCGACCCACAGCAAAUCACUUCAAGAUUUUUGGAUGCAAAGCUAUUGUACUGAAUAAGAAUCCAAAUAGAGAAAAAUUCAAUAAUCGAUCCACCGAACGCAUUUUUCUUAUAUAUUCAGAGGAAUCUAAUGCAUUUUGACUGUAAGAUCCUAAUUCUCGAAAAGUUUUAGUGUGCAGAGACGUCAAACUUACGAGUGAAUUGUCAUCUGAAGGAAAUUAUGAAAAAUUCACGUCAAAUGAAAAGACAGCAUAUACAAAUCUUUUAAGAACUGUAGAAAUCGACGAAAAUCCACUUUUACCAAGUAACACUUCCAUAUCUGACGGAAUAAAUGAAAAUGAUCAAAAUGAAUUAAGCCAGCAGAAGGCCAGAAAUAAAAAAACAACAAAAAGGUAGACCAAGAAAAGAGUUUUGCGGAAAAUCACAACCAGAAUCUUCAGAAUUUGCUGGUGCUACACAGACUCUGAAUUCGCUCACAAUUGAAGAUGCCUUCAUGAGUCACGAAGCUGGAGAAUGGAGAAAAGCAGUAAAAAGUAAAUAUUUAGCUCAAAUGAAGAAUUAAACAUGGGAUAUCGUAGAUCGCCUAGAAAACCGAAAAGUCAUUGGAAGCCGAGUAAUCUUAAACAACAAAUUUGAUGCAAAUGGAAUUCUACACCGGAGAAAGGCCAGACUAGAUGCAAAAGGAUAUGCACAACAGUAUGGUACAUGAAACUUUUGCCCCAGUCGUUUGAGCAAGUUCAAUUAUAUUAUUGAUGGCAUUAUCGGUGGAAUAUGGAUUAGUAAUUCAUCAAAUGGAUGUUUUGACUACUUAUCUAAACGGCCAGUUAGAAGUUUUUAUGGAAAUACCUGAUAGUUUACUUGAAAUUCUCGAAGAUAUCGUAAAAACUUCUAAUAUUAACCGUGAAAUUAUGAAAGAAUCACAAAAAUGGCUUAAAGAAAUCAAGAAAGGUAAUAAAUUUUGCAUUAUCCGAAAAGCACUAUAUGGAUUGCGUCAAUCUGGCAGGCAAUGGUACAUGAUAUAAAUGUGAAACUUUGAUAUAAACGCGAAACUCAGAUGAAGAAAUGAAAAAGUAUCCAUACCAGUAUUUGAUUGGAUCCUUGAUGUAUUUGGCUGCUUCUACGAGACCGAAUCUAGCUUAUACCGUAUACUGAGUCAAUUCAACACGAAUUACAGUACUGAACACUAGACAGCGGCUAAGCGGGUACUCAGAUAUUUGAAAGGUACUUUUGACUAUGCAUUGACAUUUACAAAAACGGGAAAGAAGCUUGUUGGUUUUGCUGACGCUGAUUCUGGUGCGUGUAUCUAAGGGAGACUUUCUUAUAGUGAAUAUGUUUUUAUUUAUGGGGGAGCAGCAAUCAGUUGAGAGUCACACACACAAAGAACUGUUGCAUUAUCCACCACUGAAGCCUUAACUGAAGCUGCAAAGGAAGCACUGUGCAUACAAAAUAUUUUUAAAAACUUCAGAUUUGUUUUUUAAAAAAUGGACUUCACAACA
rnacentral:lncRNA from 1 species